CCUGGGCAAAAGACAAGACAUCCUCAUCUUCAAAGGAGGAAUGGCCAAACUCCUGGGGGCCUCAUUGUUGGUUCUGUGGCUUCAGCCAAGCAGAGUAAAUAGUCAACAGAAGAAUGGUGACCAGCAGGUUAAGCAAAAUUCUCCAUCCCUGACUGUCAAAGAAGGAGACACUUCUAUUCUGAACUGUGACUAUAAUAACAAUAUGUUAGACUAUUUUGCAUGGUACAAAAAGUACCGUGAUAAUGGUCCCACAUUCCUGAUAUCUGUACGUUCAAUUGUGGAGAAAAAUGAAGAUGGGAAAUUCACGAUCUUCCUCAACAAAAGUGCCAAACACUUCUCUCUGCAAAUUGCAUCCUCCCAGUCUGAAGACUCGGCCACUUACCUCUGUGCAGCAAGUACACAGUGUUCCACAGGCACCUGCAGCUUGUACCCAAACGUGCAGCUGGGGUCCCAGAAAGCCCCUGAUCUCAGUUUCUGA